CGGACGGGUGAGUAAUGUCUGGGAAACUGCCUGAUGGAGGGGGAUAACUACUGGAACGGUAGCUAAUACCGCAUAACGUCGCAAGACCAAAGAGGGGGACCUUCGGGCCUCUUGCCAUCGGAUGUGCCCAGAUGGGAUUAGCUAGUAGGUGGGGUAACGGCUCACCUAGGCGACGAUCCCUAGCUGGUCUGAGAGGAUGACCAGCCACACUGGAACUGAGACACGGUCCAG
rnacentral:rRNA from 1 species